rnacentral:rRNA from 1 species
GACGAACCGUGCGAACGUUGUUCGGAAUCACUGGGCUUAAAGGGCGCGUAGGCGGCGGAUCGAGUCCGGGGUGAAAGCCCCCAGCUUAACUGGGGAAGGGCCUCGGAGACUGGUCCGCUCGAGGGAGGUAGGGGUCGCGGGAACUUCCGGUGGAGCGGUGAAAUGCGUUGAUAUCGGAAGGAACGCCGGUGGCGAAAGCGCGCGACUGGACCUCUUCUGACGCUGAGGCGCGAAAGCCAGGGGAGCGAACGGG